AACGAACGCUGGCGGCAGGCUUAACACAUGCAAGUCGAACGAAAAGCUUUCCUUCGGGAAAGUGGAAAGUGGCAGACGGGUGAGUAACACGUGGGAACGUACCCUUUGGUUCGGGACAACUCCGGGAAACUGGAGCUAAUACCGGAUAAGCCCUUUGGGGGAAAGAUUUAUCGCCGAAGGAUCGGCCCGCGUCGGAUUAGCUUGUUGGUGGGGUAAUGGCCCACCAAGGCUUUGAUCCGUAGCUGGUCUGGGAGGAUGAUCAGCCACACUGGGACUGAGACACGGCCCAG
rnacentral:rRNA from 1 species